CCCUUAAUAUGAUUUUUCGGAAGCUAUACCAAACUCUCUGCAGAAGAACGGAAACAGAGCUUUUAACCAUGCUUUGGUGAAACUCUUAGCAGUUUUUUUCCAGCUCCUCUUUUUUUGUUUUCAAUGAUGAAGAUUUUUCAUCAUUGGUUUGUCCUUGCUGAGUUUUAUGACAUUGACUUAUCGAGCUCCCCUUUCUCUGAGCUCCUCCACAACUUUAUUAUCUUGAGAUACAUAUGUGAUGGGAAAGUUUAAAUUUUUGGGAUUCAAGAUUUUAGAACAUACUCUUUUUAAAGCAACUCCACAACACAAGGAUGUUUCGUCAGUAGCAGUCUCCCCGUUUGAUUCGAUGAUGAUCUGGUCAACAAUUUUCGGUGAAGCCUCAGUAUCAUGACAGGAUCCACCACUAGAUUUCGUUUCUAGCUAUUCAAUUAUAUUGUAUAUCUCUACAUCUGAAAUUGAGGCAUCAUCGUUCAUUAGAUCGUUAUCUUCUUCAUCAACUUUUAAUAUUUUCUCUAAGACGAUGAUUGAACUUGAUGCGAUUGAUGAUUAAUUAUAGACUUCAACUUCUAGUACAUCUCCCUUAAUAGUUUCUUCGAUAAAGUCAGCACUGACAUAUUGAGUUUCAGAUGUUGUCUGCUCAAAAUCUACUUCAAUAUCCUCCAAGUCCAGACUUUUAUUGUUAUUUUCAGGAUUUGCUUCUUUGAUUUCCUUGAUAGCAUCUACCACAUCUCCAGUAUGAAUGUCUUUAGUAUCAUCUUUCUUAUUAUCAGUGCCUUCUUGCUCCACAUAAUGCAUUGUAUUAUAUCCGAACCAAUAUUUUUCCAAAUUUAUGGAAGCCAAGACAUUUAUUGCUCGACUCACAACUUCUAAGAAUCUUUUUCAACCUUCUUCUUCUUCAAUAACUUUUUCAAUAUGAGUCAUGUUACUCUUCGUGGCUUAGUAAUAUUUUCUUAUAUGUCCUGCUUUGUAAUACUCUGAGAAACUUCUUAUUAUAAUUAUUAACAAACUCUUUCUUCUUUCCAGAUGACCUUGAUAAACUUGAGAAUCGAGAGUGAGGCAUAGCUUUAGCUUUUCCUUUAACGUUCCUCUUAUCAGCUACGAGAGUAUUUCCUUUCAUUUCUUUGACAAAUUCACCAGCCAAUUAUUUGGCUAGUAACUUUUGUGACGAAAAUAAAUUUUCAAAUUCCUCUCAGGAUGGAUGUUGAGCCCAUCCCUGAAUUGAUGUCACAAAGGAAAUGUAUUCUGGUUUCAAACCACGAGUAAUGCUUCUUCUCAUUCAUGCUUCAGAGAUAGCCUCAUCCGUAUUCAAUAAAGAUAUUUUAGAACAUAAGUUCUUAAUCUUUAAAAAGUAUCCGGCAAUAGAAAGAUUACCUUGAGUGGUGUUAGCUAAUUUUUUCUCCAAUAACUGUAGCCGAGCUUUAUUCUUCUUGUUGAAUAACUGAUCUAGGGUCCUCCAUAUUUAGACCUUAUAAUAUGAUCAAAUAAACUGGAGGAGAUGACUCUCUUCGAGAUAAACUCCGCCUUCGCAUUAGUCUGCUUUUACUGUUUAUAUGCAACAUCAUUUUUCGAUUUGUCGACAGGAGGACUGUGUUACUUCCGUUAACAAUAUCCCACAAGGCCUCAUCCACAAGAUAUAAUUCUAUAUAUGGUUUUCCUACCUUGUAAUUGGACUGAUUCAGCAACUCCAUUUCCAGUCCAUGAACACAUCCACUUAUAUCUUUUCACAUAAACCGGUUGAAUCGACCACAAACCCGAUCUUGAAAUAAAAAUAAGUCAAUCUACGAUUUUGGCUCGGAUACCACGUAGAGAAUAACAGAUGAAAUGGUGUAUUUGGAGAGACCUUCUUCUAGCUUAAGAUCGUUAACUAAGAUAAAAAAAAUUCAGCUAAGAAGAGCAAGCUAUGAAAGUAGAAGGAAGAUAUUGAAUU
rnacentral:lncRNA from 1 species